GUGAAUUGAUCUUUUGCCUUACAGAGGAUGGAUGACUGAGGCUGACUUGUCUAGGCUGCCAGAGUCUAGGUUCUUCCCCUAAUAACUCUGAUAAUAGUUAUAUGCGCAAAUAUAUGUAAAACUCUUGACUCAAAGAGUAAGACAAUCCUCUUAAAAGCCUCCCAUUGAUGGGUGGCAAAUCAAUUUACUUAGGUCUAUUCUUAAGACAAAAUGGUAGAAAA
rnacentral:lncRNA from 1 species